AUCACUCAAGUUACUUAGUCGGAGUUCCUUGACUUGUUUAUGGGCAGUUCUUCAUAGAUGGUGCUUGAUGUAGUAUGGAACCUUAAGGUGUAGAAAAUAUUACACAAAUGUGGGCAUGGCACACUUAUGUUGCUUAGCAUACAUUAUGUUUUUGAUGCAACUAAAUGAAAUAAAUGUAAAACAAAACAAAAACAAAAAAACAUAAAAGCCCACCGCCUGAAGUGGGCAAAUAUGUAUUCCAUUAGUUGGUGCUUUUAAUCUCCUGUCCAGAGAAGUCCAUAACUUCCACUGCACAGGUAACAAUAGGUAAACGGAGGCUUGGACAACUCUGAAUGGUUAAUCCCCAAAUUCUUCACAAGAAUUAAGAACAGAAGGGACAAGUUGGAAGUUAAUGGUCACCUUUGUGCCAUCCCAUGUUCUUAAGAGGAUUAAGAGUCUAGAGUGAGUAAAAAUUACCUAGAAGGGGUUUACAGAAGAGGGACUAGAAGACUGUAAAGCUAGAUACUGCUACAGGAAGUAGGGAUGAUAACCUUAGUUUGAGUAGUAAUCAGCAAAAGAGAGAAAAUAAAUAUGUAAGCAAAUCUCUGCUCGUUUCACUCCAGGCAUAAGCCAGUAUGACAUUAGAGGAACACAUACAUGAAUGCUGCAUGUGUGCAUGGAAGCGAGCCAUCAGCAAUAGUGAACGCUCCCAAAAGCCUUAUAAAAUAGAAACAGUAGGAAAUAUUGGUAGACCUAAGUUAAUAUUUCUCAUACAUGUAUAAAGAAACGUAGUGAAGAGACUCACCUCAGUGUUUCAGGGCCACAAGUGCUCUGUUAUCUUUGUGAAGCAAGGAUGAAGAAGCAUGGCGAAGUCCAACCAGCAAGCAGAAAUGGCGUCUCAAUCCCAGGCUUUAUCUUCUUCCCCUACCCUGCAUGUACAAUAACUGCUACCUGGCAAACUGCAAUCAUGCAAAUUCCAAACCUCACUUCUCUCUUGCCAACUACACUCUGCACAAAGUACCCAGCAAGAGGUGGGAUGGCUAGAGCAGCAAGUCAAGAGAAGUUGGCACCACUCUUGUUGAGUCACUUGCCCUCUUCGGGCUCCUUUAUUACCCACACAUGAAAGAAGAGAGACACAGAGUGGGAGCAGAGCUCUAACAACUCUCCAAGUGUAGCACUCUACAACAUUUCAAGUAACAUAGUUCAGUCAGGCUAUACAGAGAAGGGAAAGGGCAAAGAUGUGAUUAAGUAUGGUGACAGCAGCAGCCUUCACAUAGCUAAGAGUUAGCACUAGGACAUUUCGAUCAUGCAGAGCAACUGUUAGGAACUUCUGUCUAACAAUCACAAACAGGUUUGCGGUCAGCCUCAACAUGUGCGCUGUGCAUUCUAUAGUCAAUUUGGAAAGAUCUGCUCAAUUAUUUUUCAAAACAAAAAUUUCAAUCCAGUAAAUUAAUAUGUAUACAAGUCAGACAAAGAAAACACAGAUACUGUACAAUAGUGUGAGAGACUAUGAAAUGGCAAUACUUUUUUAAACCACAGAUUUGUAAUAUAUUUGUUCACUGUGCAGAGGAUGUACCUUAUACAAAAUAAAAUGGAUUCUCAAACU
rnacentral:lncRNA from 1 species